GCCUGGGUGGCUCAGUGGUUGAGCAUCUGCCUUCAGUUCAGGUCGUGAUCCCGGGGUCCUGGGAUCAAGUCCCACAUUAGGCU
rnacentral:tRNA from 1 species